AGGAGUUUAUACUCUGCCUGGGCUUUCCAUCUGUCUUCCAGACCGAGCGGGUUGGAGGAGACAGCAGUGUCUGAAAUGUUUUAAGUCGUUCAUACAGGCAUCGACCAGCUGCGACCUAUGGACAGCGAAUAUUAUACACGAGACUGUAAGCAAACAAAUUACUUAAUUUAUCAAAGCUAGAAAGCAUACUCACCAUCAACACUCCAUAAACGAGCCAAGCUCCAUGCCUCAUUGCUUCGUCCUUUUGCUUCUCAGGUACCAUUUCAGGUAAAAGAAGUAGCAAAUACGGCUCUAGGUUUGGAAGAACAACAAAGCGAACCUAGAAAAAGGGGUAAAGCAUGACAAGACUUGCGGUAGACCAAAAUAUAUAUCCUAGGGUAAGAGAGGACUCUAAAAACAUAUCUGGCCGCCACGAAAAGAUUAUGGUUCAGUUGCAGAUUUAAUAAACUUAAUCGAGGAAAACGAAUCGUGCUUCUACUGAUUAAGGCUUAUGCUUUCUUAUGGGAAAUCCUAGAUUCAAGCCCAACUGCCACUCUUCCUUAUGAUAAUCAAGCACCAAGAACAAGUACCACAUUAAGCCCAAGGGCUAGCAUCCCUUGAAUUGCCCCAUAGUGUUGUGGUAGUG
rnacentral:lncRNA from 1 species